rnacentral:tRNA from 1 species
GCUCAGUUGGUUGAGUGUCCGACUCUUGAUUUUGGCUCAGGUCAUGAUCUCAUGGUCGUGGGAUCAAGCCCUGCAUUGAGCU